UACAGAGGUCUCAAGCGUUGUUCGGAUUCAUUGGGCGUAAAGGGUGCGUAGGUGGUGGGGUAAGUCGGAUGUGAAAUCCCGGGGCUUAACCCCGGAACUGCAUUCGAAACUGCCUUGCUCGAGUACUGGAGAGGAGACUGGAAUUUACGGUGUAGCAGUGAAAUGCGUAGAUAUCGUAAGGAAGACCAGUGGCGAAGGCGAGUCUCUGGACAGUUACUGACACUGAGGCACGAAGGCCAGGGGAGCAAACGGG
rnacentral:rRNA from 1 species